rnacentral:piRNA from 2 species
UCCAAAGCCCCCUCUGAUGAGAUGCAUGUA